UGCUCUGGUGUCCCAGUGGUUAGAGUCUCCGCCUCAGGUGCGGAAGUUCGUGGGUUCGAUCCUCGGUCCAGUCAU